UAGCUUAGUGGCAGAGCGCAUGCUUAGCAUGCACGAGGUCCUGGGUUCAAUCCCCAG
rnacentral:tRNA from 1 species